GACGAACGCUGGCGGCGUGCUUAACACAUGCAAGUCGAGGGGGAGUAGGGGCAACUCUACUUCACCGGCGAACGGGUGCGUAACACGUGAGCGACCUACCCUGGUGUGGGGGAUAGCCGGCCCAACGGCCGGGUAAUACCGCAUACGCUCUGUGAGGGGCAUCCCUUGGAGAGCAAAGCUGUGGGGCAACUCACGGCGCAUUGGGAGGGGCUCGCGGCCUAUCAGCUAGUUGGCGAGGUAACGGCUCACCAAGGCGACGACGGGUAGCUGGUCUGAGAGGAUGGCCAGCCACAUUGGGACUGAGAGACGGCCCAGACUCCUACGGGAGGCAGCAGUGGGGAAUCUUGCGCAAUGGGCGAAAGCCUGACGCAGCGACGCCGCGUGC
rnacentral:rRNA from 1 species